CGAUCCUUUGCAUCUUUUUCCAAAGUCUUUUCUUUCACACACAGCUCUUUAACACAGUUUAAGAGAGGUUGAAUCUGAAGAUCUGAAAAUGAUAUUCUUGGAACUUUCGUAAACUCUAUUAUUGUUUACCUCACGCACCAUUGGUUAAGCAACUAUUAGAUUAAACCCCUACAACCAAGAGCAGAAGAUACAGAGAAUGGGAAGAAGAAGAAGCUUGAUCCAAGAACUUUUGCUAAUAAUGUUUAUCUGUUUUUCUUAAUUGUCUUCUUUCUUUUUCUUCUUUUUAUAAUUUUCAUAUUUUUUUAAUUGUAACAUCAAUGGAAAGAGAAUAAGAAAUAAUUAAUAAAAGUAUUUUAUUUAUUUA